CCGUGUAUACAUACCUUUGUUGCUUUGGCAGGCCGCCUUUUAGGCGUCGGCUCCGGCUGACUGCGCCUGCCAGAGGACCCAAACUCAUUUGUUUAGUGAUGUCUGAGUACUAUGUAAUAGUUAAAACUUUCAACAACGGAUCUCUUGGUUCUGGCAUCGAUGAAGAACGCAGCGAAAUGCGAUAAGUAAUGUGAAUUGCAGAAUUCAGUGAAUCAUCGAAUCUUUGAACGCACAUUGCGCCCCUUGGUAUUCCGAGGGGCAUGCCUGUUCGAGCGUCAUUAUAACCACUCAAGCCUCGGCUUGGUCUUGGGGUUCGCGGUCUCGCGUCCCUUAAAAUCAAUGGCGGUGCCGUCUGGCUCUAAGCGUAGUAAUUCUCUCGCUAUAGGGUCCCGGCGGUUGCCUGCCAGAACCCCCCCAUUUUUUACGGUUGACCUCGGAUCAUGUAGGGAUACCCGCUGAACUUAAGAA
rnacentral:misc_RNA from 1 species